rnacentral:rRNA from 1 species
GUUGGCGGCGUGGAUUAGGCAUGCAAGUCGAACGAAUCCCNGGGGGCAACUCCUGGGGGAAGUGGCGAAAGGGGCAGUAAGGCAUGGGUAACCUACCCCGGGGACCGGGAUAGCCCUUCUAACGAGGGGGUAAUACCGGGCGAGGUAACGGAGGGGCAUCCCCCUGUUACGAGAUGAGUUUCGCCUUGGGAGGGGCUCAUGUAGUAUUAGCUAGACGGCGGGGUAACGGCCCACCGUGGCGAAGAUGCUUAGCGGGUGUGAGAGCACGACCCGCGCCACUGGCACUGAGACACUGGCCAGACUCCUACGGGAGGCUGCAGUCGAGGAUCUUCGGCAAUGGGCGCAAGCCUGACCGAGCGACGCCGCGUGGGCGAUGAAGGCCUUCGGGUUGUAAAGCCCUUUAGCGGGGGAGGAAGGCGCAAGCUUGACCGACCCCGAGAAUAAGCACGGGCUAAGUUCGUGCCAGCAGCCGCGGUAAGACGAACCGUGCGAACGUUGUUCGGAAUCACUGGGCUUAAAGGGCGCGUAGGCGGCCCGCCAAGUCCGGGGUGAAAUACUCCAGCUUAACUGGAGAAGUGCCUUGGAAACUGGCGGGCUCGAGCGAGGU